AAGUGCGUUUUUAUCAUAUGAUCUGUUUUAAAAGGAUGUAUCUAAAAAGACACAUGUUUAACACACUUCUUAAAAAGUGCGUCUUUAACAACCGUUUAGCAAAUGUUGUACAGAAAUUGAACAAGAAACAAAAUUGUUGCAGGCUCUAACAAUUUAUUUACAUCAAAUGAUUAAACAUAGACAUAUAUCUCAGUAACCUGUAAUAAUAUAAGGGGCAGUUUGAAUAAUUACUGGUUGUCCAUAUUAACCUGUUUAAUGUUUACAUACUUUAUCAUACAAUUUCAAUGCAUACCCUAUUGCUUACGUUUUAAUCUCAAACAUUUCUAAAAAAUUCCACCUAAAUCAGACUGUGUGUAACUAAUUAAAAAUAUUGAAAGUGUCAAAAGUAUUAUGUGGGCUUGAUAGUAUCAAUUAUAUUUCCUCAACAUAAAUAAGUAUUUGAACUUUCUUAUACUGAUAUUUAUACCCUAAUACAAUUAAUGUCUACCACAUUGACCAUAAACAUACAUUUUAAAAGGCAAUUAAAAUAAUAUUUAUACUAUUAAUAUUAUUUGCUAAAACCAUUCAGCAUGUUAUAUUUAAAUAUUUACAAUUAAAUAUAAUGUGUUAAGGGUGCUGUGUAUUAUUCAAUAAAUAUUUUGGUGUUGAAAUGACUGCCUUAUCAGUAUUUCUCAAAUUAUGCAAUUUUUGGCUUAGACACAGCAUGGUAUCAGAUAAGAGAAUAGCCAGUCCCUAUCAGUCCUCCAUCUAAGCCUAACUAAGGGGUGUUGAUAUACUUUUGAUUUGUUCAGGCACCAUUUAUUUGAGAACCACAGAUAGGAAGUUAUUUUUUUAAAACAAGCAGCAUCAGCAACUGACUUUAAGCUAGAAUUAAGACUUAUUAUUUUAGUGUAAAAUGUCUUGAAAUACUUUCAGCAUGAAGUAUUGUGUGAUGAAAAAAAUGUGAAUUUACUACAAUGUGUAAAUCAACAAUAAAGGAGAUUAAAAGUGGGUGGUUAAAGACAUAUAAAGUGAUAUGGUCUAGUUCAACAACUGCCUGUAUUUUUGGAAUACUGAAGAACAGUCUGUUGUAACAGGUUAAACCCCAUGGAAAGAAUGUGCAUCAUCGCAUCGCCUGCCAAAAAAGGGAGCAAAAAAGAGACUACCUGAUGUAUGGACUUGAAUACCAGGUUUUACCCUGCACAAGCUGGCCGACAUGAGGAGAACAGGAGUGGGAAAACCGCACCCUCUUCUUGACCAAGAAAAGCUGGAUUUGUUUAGAGGACCUGAUCAAAUGAGAUCAUGCACGAGACGCAUCGCGCAAAGGCCAUGACAGUAUAAUUGUUGCAAAGAAGUUUGACCGGCUAGUGGCAGACUUGGAGAGAAAGAUGAGAGCUGCACUCCACUGCCUCAAAGAAAUGCUGAAAGGCCUUGAUUGAUAUGCAUCUUUCUUAUGUAUAUAGCUGUUCCUGUGUAUAUACUGUACAUGUUAUUAUAGUAUGCUAUUAUUUUUUGUUUAUUUAUAAUCAAAUUAUGUUUAUAUUUAUUUCAUCAAAUUGCCAUUGAUAUUUAAUUACUCAUGUAUGUUAAAAAAUGUUGGUGUACAUUAAAGUAUAAAAUUGAAUUAUCUUGUAAUUAUUAAAAUACACAAAUAUAUAUGUCUAUAUAAUUAUUGGUUUUUAUUGCAUAUCUGAAUUAAAAAAAACUUUUAACAGCAUAUAAUUGAAUCAACUGUUAAGGCAAAAGAUGCACCUUUAACGCACAUGUGUGCUUUUUGUGAGUGCGUUUUUUGCUGCCAUUCAUUUGCGUAAAUUGUGCGUUUUGUGUGGGUUAUAACUGCGCUUAACGUGCGUUAAAUGUGCGCUUUUUGUGAGUUAAAUGUGCGCUUUUUUAUUUAAAAAGCGCACAUUUAACGCACAUAAAAGCGCACAUUUAACACACAUGUGCGCUUUUAUGUGGGUUAUAACUGCGCUUUUCGUGAGUUAAAUGUGCGCUUUUUAAAUAAAAAAGCGCACAUUUAACUCACAAAAAGCGCACAUUUAACGCACUUAAAAGCGCACAUUUUACACACAUAAAUGGCAGUCAAAAACGCACUUAUAAAAAGCGCACGUUUAACGCACAUUUAACGCACAUAAAAGCGCACUUUAACACACAUGUGCGCUUUUAUGUGGGUUAUAACUGCGCUUUUUGUGAGUUAAAUGUGCGCUUUUUAAAUAAAAAAAGCGCACAUUUAACUCACAAAAAGCACACAUUUAACGCACUUAAAAGCGCACAUUUUACACACAUAAAUGGUAGUCAAAAACGCACUUAUAUAAAAAGCGCACGUUUAACGCACAUUUAACGCACAUAAAAGCGCACAUUGAACACACUUAUAAAAAGCACACGUUUAACGCACAUAAAGCGCACAUUUAUCCACAAAAAGCGCACAUUUUCUUGUUUGUUUGUUUUUGUUAAAAACUCACUCGGUAAGAAAAAGCGCACAAAAAACGCAGUGCCAAUACCGCCACGUUUAACGCACGCAAAACGUACGUAAAACGUACAUUUCACACACUUUUUUGAGAAG